rnacentral:rRNA from 1 species
CAUAUCAAUAAGCGGAGGAAAAGAAACCAACAGGGAUUGCCCUAGUAACGGCGAGUGAAGCGGCAAUAGCUCAAAUUUGAAAUCUGCCCCCCGGCCGAGUUGUAAUUUGCAGAGGAUGCUUUUGGCACGGUGCUUACUGAGUCCCCUGGAACGGGGCGCCAGAGAGGGUGAGAGCCCCGUAAGGUAAGAUGCCUAGCCAGUGUAAAGCUCCUUCAACGAGUCGAGUAGUUUGGGAAUGCUGCUCUAAAUGGGAGGUAAAUUCCUUCUAAAGCUAAAUACUUGCCAGAGACCGAUAGCGCACAAGUAGAGUGAUCGAAAGAUGAAAAGCACUUUGAAAAGAGAGUCAAACAGCACGUGAAAUUGUUGAAAGGGAAGCGCUUGUGACUAUUAUUGCGCCGGGUCGACCGCGACCGUUUUCGGUAGUGUACUCGGCCCGGUGUCAGCCAGCAUCGGUUGCCGUGGGGGGAGAACAGUUUCGAGAAUGUGACUCCUUUGGAGUGUUAUAGCUUGGGGCAUAAUACCCCCAUGACAACUGAGGACCGCGCUUUGCGAGGAUGCUGUUACAAUGGUUAUUGGCGACCCGUCUUGAAACACGGACCAAGGAGUCAAGGUUUUGCGCAAGUGUUUGGGUGUAAAACCCGCACGCGUAAUGAAAGUGAACGUAGGUGAGAGCUUCGGCGCAUCACCGACCGAUCCUGAUGUAUUCGGAUGGAUUUGAGUAGCAGCGCAGUGCCUUGGACCCGAAAGAUGGUGAACUAUGCUUGGAUAGGGUGAAGCCAGAGGAAACUCUGGUGGAGGCUCGCAGCGGUUCUGACGUGCAAAUCGAUCGUCAAAUCUGAGCAUGGGGGCGAAAGACUAAUCG